rnacentral:lncRNA from 1 species
UCUCAGGCUCCCGAUUCUCCUUUUAUAGCGCAAGGAAGCCACCGAGGUUAAAGGUGAGACCAGGUGUGAGGAGAAGUAAAAGAGAUAAACAAAGCUAAGUAAAAUACAACACAAGGGGAGGGACCAAGUCCCUAGGCCGCCGGCGUCCUCACCGGCCUUCGGCCCCUGCCAGCGCGUCUGCUGGAGGAGGACGGCUGCCGUCGCGUCCUGUCGAUGGUCUCCUCGGCGGAUGUCACCGCCAAGCGUGAUGAUGGCGUUUCAUCAUGGCACCUGUGUCCGUUGGGGGAGGCGGCUGACCCCGCCAUCUUGCUGACGGUCUACGGAAGGCGGACGUCACAUCCCUGUCG